rnacentral:rRNA from 10 species
AGGUGCGAUCAUACCAGCACUAAUGCACCGGAUCCCAUCAGAACUCCGCAGUUAAGCGUGCUUGGGCGAGAGUAGUACUAGGAUGGGUGACCUCCUGGGAAGUCCUCGUGUUGCACCUCC